rnacentral:rRNA from 1 species
UACAGAGGUCUCAAGCGUUGUUCGGAUUCAUUGGGCGUAAAGGGUGCGUAGGUGGCGCCGUAAGUCAGGUGUGAAAUUUCGAAGCUUAACUCCGAAACUGCAUUUGAUACUGCGGUGCUUGAGGACUGGAGAGGAGACUGGAAUUCCUGGUGUAGCGGUGAAAUGCGCAGAUAUCAGGAGGAACACCGGUGGCGAAGGCGGGUCUCUGGGCCGAUACUGACGCUGAGGAGCGAAAGCGUGGGGAGCGAACAGG